AGUGAAGCGGGAUGAGCUCAAAUUUGAAAUCUGGCUGGUUUUACUGGUCCGAGUUGUAGUUUAUAGAGGUGUUUUCGGUGGCAGCCUGGGUAUAAAUCCUUUGGAAUAGGGUAUCAUGGAGGGUGAGAAUCCCGUCUUUGACCCAGGUUCAUGCUACUAUGUGAUACAUCUUCAAAGAGUCGAGUUGUUUGGGAAUGCAGCUCUAAAUGGGUGGUAAAUUUCAUCUAAAGCUAAAUACAGGCGAGAGACCGAUAGCGAACAAGUACCGUGAGGGAAAGAUGAAAAGAACUUUGAAAAGAGAGUUAAACAGUGCGUGAAAUUGUUGAAAGGGAAACGUUUGAAGCCAGCCGUGCGGGCGGAAAAUCAGCCUAGCUGUGGUGGGGAGCUAUUGGAGGUUCGGAGCGCAAGCCCGGCCUUUGGUGGCAUCUUUGUCACAAUGGGUGCACUUUUUCGUUUGCAGGCCAACAUCAGUUUGCUUCGCUGGAAAAGGCCUUGAGGGAAUGUGGCAGCUUUGGCUGUGUUAUAGCCCUGAGGAGAUACAGUGGAGUGGACUGAGGAGUCGCAGCGUGUGCUUUCGGGCAAGGUAGACUGGGUGCUGUGGGAUGGGGCGAGGUACAAUGCAUGCAUUUUGCUUCGUCUUUUCUGUCCUGCACUCGCUCAUCUCUACUCUUCCACGCUUAGGAUGUUGGCAUAAUGGAUUUAAACGACCCGUCUUGAAACACGGACCAAGGAGUCUAACAUAUAUGCGAGUGUUUGGGUGGCAAACCCAUGCGCGAAAUGAAAGUGAACGUAGGUGCGAUCCGCAAGGUGCAGCAUCGACCGAUCUUGAAUUUUUAGGAUAGAUUUGAGUAAGAGCAUAUAUGCUGGGACCCGAAAGAUGGUGAACUAUGCCUGAAUAGGGUGAAGCCAGAGGAAACUCUGGUGGAGGCUCGUAGCGACUUCUGACGUGCAAAUCGAUCGUCAAAUUUGGGUAAUAGGGGCGAAAGACUA
rnacentral:rRNA from 2 species